rnacentral:rRNA from 1 species
UACAGAGACUGCGAGCGUUAUUCGGAUUCACUGGGCGUAAAGGGUGCGCAGGCGGCCAAGUGUGUGAGGCGUGAAAGCCCGGGGCUUAACCCCGGAAUUGCACCUCAAACUACAUGGCUAGAGCAUUGGAGAGGGUAGCGGAAUUCACGGUGUAGCAGUGAAAUGCGUAGAUAUCGUGAGGAACACCAGAGGCGAAGGCGGCUACCUGGACAAUUGCUGACGCUCAGGCACGAAAGCGUGGGGAGCAAACGGG